CGGAGGGUGCGAGCGUUGUCCGGAAUCACUGGGCGUAAAGGGCGCGUAGGCGGCCUGAUAAGUAGGGGGUGAAAUCUUGCGGCUCAACCGCAAGGCUGCCUUCUAAACUGUCAGGCUAGAGCACAGUAGAGGCAGGUGGAAUUCCCGGUGUAGCGGUGGAAUGCGUAGAGAUCGGGAAGAACAUCAGUGGCGAAGGCGGCCUGCUGGGCUGUUGCUGACGCUGAGGCGCGACAGCGUGGGGAGCAAACAGGAUUAGACUACCCUGGUAGUCCACGACCGUAAACGAGUGGGCACUAGGCGUCGGGGGGAGCGACCCUCCCGGUGCCGUCGCUAACGCAGUAAGUGCCCCGCCUGGGGAGUACGGCCGCAAGGCUG
rnacentral:rRNA from 1 species